GAAAUCAGCAAAUCUAGGGUUUAAGAGUUAUCUCCUGCGCUGACUUAACCUUUCUCUCUUAAUUUGUGUUGCGUUCCACAGAAACAGAGGUUUGAAGCAUGGCAGAGCAGACUGAAAAGGCAUUUCUGAAGCAACCCAAAGUCUUCCUCAGUUCCAAGAAAAGUGGAAAGGGGAAGAGACCUGGAAAAGGUGGCAAUCGUUUCUGGAAAAGCAUUGGCUUAAAUUUUAAGACUCCAAGAGAAGCUAUUCAAGGAACUUACGUUGACAAGAAAUGCCCCUUCAGUGGAACUGUGUCCAUCAGGGGACGUAUCCUAGCCGGAACUUGCCACAGUGCCAAGAUGAUGAGGACCAUCGUUGUUCGCCGGGAUUACCUUCAUUUUAUUAAGAAAUACCAACGAUACGAGAAAAGACAUUCAAAUAUCCCAGCACACAUAUCUCCAUGCUUCCGUGUUAAAGAAGGAGAUCAUGUCAUUAUCGGGCAGUGCAGGCCAUUGUCCAAGACUGUGAGAUUCAACGUGCUUAAGGUGGUUCCUGCUGGCUCUUCCGGGGCCGGGAAAAAGGCCUUCACUAGUAUGUGAGACAUUCCUAGGUUACUGGUGGAAAUUCAAUGCUUUAAGCAUCGUGUUGUGUUCCUGAAGUGCGAUUACCGUUUGGUUGGAAAGAAAGCAAACCCUAACAUAAUCAGCCAUGCGGCAACCUCCGACGCAAUAGCUCCGCCAUCAGUGAAGCAGACAAGAGGCAACCACUAAAGCAGCCACCGUCUGACUCAGUGUAGCCGCUCUUCGCUCCGUUUUUGCUUCCGCUCCAUUCCACCCCUUUUGCCGCUUCUGUUGCGUUACGUCGUAGCCGCUCUCCUAUUUGUGUUUAUUUUGUUCAAGUUAUUGUUGUGGAUUUGCAAGCUGCCGUGAGUCUUGAAGGAAAAACGGUCGUAGAUGGAGGACCUGCUGCCGCCAUGACGAACAAUUCGAAAUCCGAGAUAGAAUCAAUAUUUUCGGUGUUGGUUAAUCCAUUUUUUGUUUUUCUUUUAUGAACGACGGUGGUGAUAUGAUGGUGGUUCGAUUUUUUAUGUUACACAGUCUGCACUCUUAAGUGUUUGAAGAAAUGCUUAUGAGAAUUGUAAUGUUUUGGGUGUUGGGUAAUCAAUAGUUAACAUUAGGUAAACCGUCAGGUAACUUGUAAUAAAUUUUAUUUUGAAUAUAAUAUUAAUAAAAUAGUUAAUUAACUGUUA